rnacentral:rRNA from 1 species
UAAGCUAGUAAGAUCCCUGAAAGAUGAUCAGGUUGAUAGGUUCGAGGUGGAAGCGUGGUGACACGUGGAGCUGACGAAUACUAAUAGAUCGAGGACUUAACCAA